CGGUAUUAAUUAAUGCUACAUAAGCAAUUCUCAAAACAUUUUAAGGUAACACUUUACAUCAAUUGUCUCUAAUUACUGUGUAUUUACAUAGUAGUUACUUAGUAAAUACAGGUGCAGUUACACAUAAUGCAUAGUUACAUUGUAAUUAAUGUGCAUGAUAUAACCUUCAUCCUAACCCUUUUCUCACACAAUCGUGUACUUACAUAUAUUGUGCAAAAAGAUGAACAUGCUGUGCAUUUGUUCUGUUAGUUUCAACUAUCAGCACACAUAGAGUACGAUUGCAACAUUAUUUAAACAGAAAUUUUACUGUGGGGGUUUGUGAAGAGGAAAUUCCAGAAUUAAAGCCUUCUUCUUUCCUGGCAGCACAGUGUGUAACCUGGCUGUUUUACUGGCAGUUAGUGAAAAACAACUCCAACUGAUUAGAGAGUAAAUAAAAUAGACCUCCCCUUUCUGUUGUGCUAGCAGCUUGGUUCUUCCCAUAAGGUUUGGACUGUGUUACAACUCAAAAGGCUAAAGAUGGCAAGAAAGGUUAUCAGUGGAGUUUUACUUUUUUGCUUAUUGAUUAUUGACACUAACACACGGGCCGAUUUAACACCUGGGCUUCAAGACUAUUUUUGAUGUGUCACCAGAAACGACUUCCGGUACUGCAAACCCAUGUGCAAUCAGUCCAGUGGCAUCGAGUCUGUGUCUGACCAGGUCUGGACUGAUGGCAAUGACUCUUAAGG